rnacentral:rRNA from 1 species
CGGCUUAGAGUUUGAUCCUGGCUCAGAUUGAACGCUGGCGGCAUGCCUAACACAUGCAAGUCGAACGGCAGCACGUUUUAGUUUACUAAGAUGGUGGCGAGUGGCGCACGGGUGAGUAAGGCGUAGGAAUAUACCUUGAAGAGCGGGACAACUUGGGGAAACUCAGGCUAAUACCGCAUGAGCUCUACGGAGGAAAGCUGGGGACCGCAAGGCCUGGCGCUUUAAGAAUAGCUUACGUCCGAUUAGCUAGUUGGUGGGGUAAAGGCUUACCAAGGCGAUGAUCGGUAGCUGGUCUGAGAGGAUGGUCAGCCACACUGGGACUGAGACACGGCCCAGACUCCUACGGGAGGCAGCAGUGGGGAAUAUUGGACAAUGGGGGCAACCCUGAUCCAGCGAUGCCGCGUGUGUGAAGAAGGCCUG